rnacentral:rRNA from 1 species
UAGGGAAUCUUCCACAAUGGACGCAAGUCUGAUGGAGCAACGCCGCGUGAGUGAAGAAGGUCUUCGGAUCGUAAAGCUCUGUUGUUGGUGAAGAAGGAUAGAGGCAGUAACUGGUCUUUAUUUGACGGUAAUCAACCAGAAAGUCACGGCUAACUACGUGCCAGCAGCCGCGGUAAUACGUAGGUGGCAAGCGUUGUCCGGAUUUAUUGGGCGUAAAGCGAGCGCAGGCGGAAUGAUAAGUCUGAUGUGAAAGCCCACGGCUCAACCGUGGAACUGCAUCGGAAACUGUCAUUCUUGAGUGCAGAAGAGGAGAGUGGAACUCCAUGUGUAGCGGUGGAAUGCGUAGAUAUAUGGAAGAACACCAGUGGCGAAGGCGGCUCUCUGGUCUGCAACUGACGCUGAGGCUCGAAAGCAUGGGUAGCGAACAGGAUUAGAUACCCUGGUAGUCCAUGCCGUAAACGAUGAGCGCUAGGUGUUGGGGACUUUCCGGUUCUCAGUGCCGCAGCAAACGCAUUAAGCGCUCCGCCUGGGGAGUACGACCGCAAGGUUGAAACUCUAAGUGAUUGAC